CGGUGGUGGUGAUUGUCACAUCGACGGAGGUGGUGAUUACGGUAGGGGUGGUUAUGGAUUGUGACGGUGAUGAUUAUUGUAGUAGCGAUGGAGGUGAUUAUGGUGGUGUUGGUGAAGCUGUGUUAGAUUUGAAAUACGUAAAAGAGACAAUAUUGGAAUUGGUGAUAGUUGUGGUGGUAGUGACAAUGAUGGUGAUGGUUACAAAGAAAGUGGCGGACAUGGAUAUGUAGGAACUAAUGGCCUUUUAUGACAUAGAUUAGAAAUAAUAUUGAGCAAACUAGAUGGUAUAAAA
rnacentral:lncRNA from 1 species